UACGUAGGGUGCAAGCGUUAAUCGGAAUUACUGGGCGUAAAGCGUGCGCAGGCGGUUUGGCAAGAAAGAUGUGAAAUCCCAGAGCUUAACUUUGGAACUGCAUUUUUAACUGCCAAGCUAGAGUAUGUCAGAGGGGGGUAGAAUUCCACGUGUAGCAGUGAAAUGCGUAGAGAUGUGGAGGAAUACCGAUGGCGAAGGCAGCCCCCUGGGAUAAUACUGACGCUCAUGCACGAAAGCGUGGGGAGCAAACAGG
rnacentral:rRNA from 1 species